UACGUAGGGACCGAGCGUUGUCCGGAAUCAUUGGGCGUAAAGAGCGUGUAGGCGGCCUGUUAAGUCUUGCGUGAAAUCUCGGGGCUCAACUCCGAGCUUGCAGUCGAUACGGGCAGGCUAGAGUUCGGCAGGGGAGACUGGAAUUCCUGGUGUAGCAGUGAAAUGCGCAGAUAUCAGGAGGAACACCGGUGGCGAAGGCGGGUCUCUGGGCCGAUACUGACACUGAGGAGCGAAAGCGUGGGGAGCGAACAGA
rnacentral:rRNA from 1 species